GGCUCAGCUGUGAUCACUGAGGUGGCUGCUGACCCUUGCCCUCAAAUGGGCUGCGUGCCAAGGGCUCAUCUGUCCCUUCAGGGCAGAGGGGCCAACAGGAAGCCGCUCUGGACAAGGAGGCACCAGUGUCUAACACACUGCCCUCGGCACCUGUAGCAUUCUGCAAAUGCUAUCCAGCACUCCUCGAAUUUAGCACCACACAGGACUGUAAAAGGCAGGACCCCAUGCAACAAUAUUCACUCUUCAACAUAUUUAGAUCCAUGGAAACACACACAGCCCCACACAGUGUGCAUACAAACAUACAUACAGCAUGACACAACAUACCCACACUUACAUACUUCCUCAAACACAGCACCAAAGCAAUCCAGGACACUUUGCCUCUGUGCAAAAUUUGUACAUUGAGGCCAGGAGAUUUAGCUCAGUGGCACCACACCUGCCUCACAAGUGCAAGGUCCUGAGUUCGAUCCCCACUACCAGAAAAAAAACCUUGCACAUCAAAGUGUGCACAUGCACACACACAGACACACCUGCCCUCAUAGGCACAGAAACCUGGGAUCACCAGUCAUGGCAGCAGUGUCCAGUGAUACUCUCUUGAGAAACCCCAAGUUGAGGCCAGGGACAAGCUUCCUGGGGCAGAGUCACCCUGAAAACCUCUGCUGCCUGCAGUCCCUCUGAACAAGAUUUGCCCAAUACUAAGGGAAAUGAGAGGAAAAACACUGUCAAGACAAAAAGGAGCCCAUAAGGUCGAGGUCAAAGUCAAAGAGUCGAUUCCUCUGGGACAGCAUCCAAGAAAGACAGUUCUAUAGUCUGAACCACAUGAAACUCUGGUCCUGGCCGAGGCUGGUCUUGACCACAGAGUUUUCAGUUGGUCCUAAAAACAUUUACAGCAACUCUGCUUCCCAAGGAAACGAACCUCCAAAGAGGGGCAGUCACCUGCCCCAGGUCAUGCAGCAAAUCAAAGGCAGACCUGUAGCUAGAAUACAGUCUCCUGCCUCCUGGCCCAGCGUCUUUAGAUCUUAGCAAAAGGUGACAGUUUGAAGCCACACUUUGAAGGAAAGAGAGG
rnacentral:lncRNA from 1 species